UUUCUGGAUCCUUCUUCCAGGAUUUUCAGCCCUGGGGAGCUCUCCUUUCUGUAGUGUGAAGGAACGCUGGGCAGGAGCGGCGCCAAGAAGAAUUCUCUGCUUCCCCAGAAGAUGAGACAGGGAGCAGCUGGGACUGGGUUCUGACCAAGGAAGGAAGGAUGCUGAGGGCCCAGCUGACUCCCCUCCACUGGCUCCUUCCCCUGAUCCGUGGCCCUGAUGGGGCAACAGCGCUGGGGACUCCUGCAGGUGACAACUCUCAAGUGUUUGCCCACGGGACCUGAGAAGAGGAACUUGGCACAGCCUGCGCCCCUCGCAUACCUCUCUCAUGGGCCCUUCUUUCUCUGGCCGCUAUGGGAGCCCUGCGGCCUUGGGUUUAACCCAUGAGGCCAAGGGCACAUGCACAGCCACCAGGGUGUCUCCAUCAAUCAGCGUUGAAGUGGAACUGAGUACAUGCUUUUCAGAAGCAACAUCAUUCUCUACUCAGCCAGAGCAUUGGGCCUGACAAUAGCUGGAUCCAGCAGAAAACUGGACACUCUAGGAGAUGUCACGUGGAGUUGUGCCUGGCUGGACUAAUAGUCACGUGGAUAUGAUUUUUAAAAAAAUCUCUCAGAGCUUUCCUAAAAUCAAAUAAUAUUCUUCAGUUGCUUUAGUAGACGAGACAUUAGUUAGUGUCUUUUUAAUUUCCACAGAAGCUUUUUUUAUGUUACUAAAGAAACUAAACAUUAUGUCUUUUUUCUUGUUACCAAAAUGGACUUCGUAUUAAAAACAAGAAACCUACAAGAAAGGAA